rnacentral:rRNA from 131 species
GUUGACCUCGGAUCAGGUAGGGAUACCCGCUGAACUUAAGCAUAUCA